rnacentral:rRNA from 1 species
UACGGGGGGGGCAAGCGUUGUUCGGAAUUACUGGGCGUAAAGGGCUCGUAGGCGGCCAACUAAGUCGGACGUGAAAUCCCCAGGCUCAACCUGGGAACUGCGUCCGAUACUGGAUGGCUUGAAUUCGGGAGAGGGAUGCAGAAUUCCAGGUGUAGCGGUGAAAUGCGUAGAUAUCGAGAGGAACACCUGCGGCGAAGGCGGGUUGCUGGGCUGACACUGACGCUGAAGCGCGAAAGCCAGGGGAGCGAACGGG